UCCACAGAGCCCGAGGGAUGAUCUAGCC
rnacentral:piRNA from 1 species